GUCGAUGGUUCCAGUGAGUGUGAUGGCAGAGUUCAGAUUCUGUAUAAUGAGCAGUGGGGUGCAGUGUGUCACUCGGGCUGGGAUCUAGCAGAUGCUACAGUGUUGUGUCAAGAGCUUUACUGUGGAGACACUGCAGAACUGAGAGCGUAUGUGCAACCUUCAGGGCAAAUAUGGAUGGAUCAACUGGCCUGUACGGGAAAUGAGUUGACAGUGCAGGAAUGUCCUUUUACUGGAUGGAGUGUGAGCAGUUGUUUGGAUGGGCUUCAUGCAGGAGUUUCAUGCCAAACAACUGUCAGAAAAGUUGUGGUGAGGAUUGUGGUGAAGGCCAAGAGUGGAGUCAAUCUCAAUGAUCCAGAUAUCAAGAAUAAGCUUUUGGAUACGAUAAGGCAUGUGGUUGAAAGUAAAGGGAAGUAUAGUGUGAAUUGGAGAAUACAGCCUGAUGAGCAGGUAUUUCACCAGCAGAGAACAGCCACAGGUUUGUAAACUUGGAGGUGUUGGGAGUCUCUUCCAUGUAAAAUGUGCAAUAUAUGUAAAUAUUUAUGCAUUGUUGAUUUUAAUUAUAAACCUGUUAUAUUCACAGGCAGGGCUGAGGCAUACCUUGUGAAGUAGGUAGCCACACAGUCAGGGCUUCAAGAAGGAGUGAGAUUUAUUUAUUUAUUUAAUUUUAGUUUGGACAUUAGUUUGGACUUAUUAUUACACUAAUAUCAGCAAGUUAUGACCUCAUUAGUUUUUCUAAAUCUCAACCGCCACGCCCUGCCUCCACCUUAGAGCGGCAUCAGCAGUCUACUUGCAAAACACCCUGAAGUACAUCUAAAAAUGCCUUCAAAAUUUGGAUAUGAAUACAAAAGAUGACGAUUUUUGCUGUUGGUGAUGACAAAUGAGUUUUAAAGCUGACAGGUGCUUCUGAAAGGUAGGGUAAUGUUGAGUGUGAAAGCAGGGAGAAGUCAUGGGUGACCAUGAUUUCAC